CAAGUUCUGUAAAAGCACAUAGUCAGAACACUUCGAAAUUUUGAAAAUUUGAUUUCAAGAUACCUAAAUUCUUGCACAAAUCCGGAACCGAUAAAAAACCACAAAAAAACCGGCCCUUACCGCAAGAAUGGCCACGAUUCUCAAGAUCAUUCCAUAUCACCGUAAAAAAAAUGAAAAUAAAUGACAACACUAAAUAAUCACAGCUUGCUGUGAUCUGUCAAAAUAGUUAAAACCGUUAAAACCUAUCGGGCCCGUGCGAACGGUUCGGUUUUAACUUGGUUAUAACUUAUAACCAUUUCGUUAAAACCGGCUAUAACUCGCCCGUGCGAACGGGGUAUCAGAUUAAAACUGGUUUUAAGAGUUAUAGCCAAGUUAUAACUGCUCGAAAAGGGAACUCGACUACUUGAAAACUCAUAGUAGCCUUUGGAAACAUUUGAAAACGUACAACAUUGACAGGAACAAAACAACAUUUUUCGCGACGGCUGCUUCAUUUAACUUUGCUGAAAACGUUCAACGAACCGGCCAGCCCCAACUCCACGGAACGGAUGGAUCACCGCGGGAAACUAUACAGAAGAAUCCCCGGGAGGUGAAUUUGUUUGUGUUGGCGAAACUACUCUGGCUGAAAAUUCCCGCAACGGAAGAUUGGCUCGAACGCUGGAGUAUUGGUUUGUGCUAGGGGUUUCCGGUUGAACCUGGCGAUUCCGGAGGUCACAUUGACGCGCGAAAAGAUUCCCUUCCAUCCAAACCCGGAUGCUAAUUGACUUGAUGGGGAUCACCAGAAUCGAGGGCACCUUCCCGGAGAACCUGCAAACGGCAUGCACGUCCUUCAUCGCAACAAGCAAAAAUCUUAUGGGUGUCCUGGAAGCUUUCGUGUACAAUAUCGCGUUCCUGGAACAAUGGCUACACGCGUCUAGCCUCCGGGACUCGGUCGGACGGGGCGAUACACUUCUUCUCUCGAUCUGCGACCACGGGUUGCUCUUCUCUCGACCGGCUUCGGUCAACUGCUGCUCUUGUACUCUACCCUCUUCUGGGCCACCUACCUCAACGCUGUGGGGUGGGGGAGAUCAUGCGUGUUUGGCUAUUUGACCCUAAUUUCUGCUUGGUGAUUGUCAGUCGUCCUUCCGCAGGCUGGAACAGAUGAUCUCGGUGGCAGUCUGGUUUCCACUGGGGAGCAACUUGAACUCCGCCCUUCAGGCGAUGGAGGGUGUGCUGCUGAAGGAUUGCGGCAAGAGGACGACGUUUUCAGCUGGCUCGAUGGCUGCCGACGGAUGAUUGUUCCCAUGUGUGCAACUCCUACGGUGUUGGGGCAGAUCAACUCCACUUGCUCAGGGUUGACCCCUACAGAUGACCCACUAGCAUACCACGGUUAGUGCGCCGCCACGGUAGCGUCAAAUGACUCGGAGACUUUUGGCGUGUCGUCUCCUACGGACUGAUCCAUGUGAUGCGUUCUGUCCCGGUUUCGAAUAGGCGGCACCAAUCGAGAAUCGGUGUGGUCUGCGGAGUCGCUGACAGGAUUCUCAGGAACUUUAGCACAUGCGCAGGUCGGUCCGACAGGAUAGCAAUGUUUAGUAGCCCAGCGUUGAUCACGACGUCGCUGGGCAUGAUACACACUUAGUCGCGUGCGCUGGUGGUCCCCAGUCAGUAAAUGGAUCGCUGUCUGUGCAGGUGACAAUGUAUAGUUUUCGCUCUACAGCGGUCGGUAGGCGUGCAACACGGCGUCGAACGGAAGCAGUUCGGCUGGCAGGGCACAGGUGUAGCGUACACCUCGCUAUUCCACACGCGAAUCGAUGCCGAUACCCAGGCGUCUUCUAAACGCUUUGAGAACUAAUGUGAUCGAUCUCUUCACGGUCUUGCAAUGAGCUCCAAAAGGCUCGCGUGAUCGCGGAUGGCGAUAAAUGGGGGAAACGCGAAGCACUUGAUCGUGACUGUGAUAUUCUCAAGCUUGUAAUAAAACACAAUAAUGCGGCUUUCAACGCACCGCUUUAUUCGUCCAUCUUCGUACACAGACUGAACUCACAGCGUUCACACGCUUAUCUUCGUUUACCUAAACUGAACACUAAUUUAGGCAUAACACGGCUAAUCUAGAAUGCCACAUCCUCCCCUUCGAUAAAUUAUGAAUGAAUGAUAACUUAAAAACUAUCACUCGUAUUGUAACUCUUAAUUCUAGGUCCUCGAUGAACUGUAUCGUAGAAGUGAUGUACACAGCGUUCGGUCCCUCCGGUAGUCAUCAUCAAUUCUUUGAAUUCCAAAUCAUUGCUCCUUCUGUUCUUCCCUCUUCCUCUGCUACCGCUAAAAAGAAAGAAAAAAAAAAAACAAACGAGAAAAAAACAGAGAAAAGCAAACCACAAACAAAAACAUAAUAUUAACCGAACAGUGAUCUAAAUCAAAUUCAGCAAUUUAUACCAUAAAGUACUAAACUUAUUUCAUAAUUUUCCUGCAAUCUUCUGAUACUGCUAACAAUUGCAAAUCCCUUGUCCCAGUUUGCCUGUAUUUCCCUAAUUCCUUUUGUUUACUUUGAUCAGGCUUACCCACAAACAGUUUAUUUUAUAUUCCUUCAAAUUAUACAUUUAUCAUAGAGUUAAAUGAACAUAGUAAUUUAAUAACUUUUUCUAAUGCUAUCUUUGAAGACCCUUACAAUAAUAACCAUCCUAUAUAUAAUCCUAAUCAUCAUCUGAAAUCGAUUGCUUUAUGGAGAGAAGGUAGCGCAU